rnacentral:rRNA from 1 species
GGAGAGCUUGCUCUUCUGAUUAGUGGCGAACGGGUGAGUAACACGUGAGUAACCUGCCCUUGACUCUGGGAUAAGCACUGGAAACGGUGUCUAAUACCGGAUACGAGCUUCAGCCGCAUGGCUAGGAGCUGGAAAGAAUUUUGGUCAAGGAUGGACUCGCGGCCUAUCAGCUAGUUGGUGAGGUAACGGCCCACCAAGGCGACGACGGGUAGCCGGCCUGAGAGGGUGACCGGCCACACUGGGACUGAGACACGGCCCAGACUCCUACGGGAGGCAGCAGUGGGGAAUAUUGCACAAUGGGCGAAAGCCUGAUGCAGCAACGCCGCGUGAGGGACGACGGCCUUCGGGUUGUAAACCUCUUUUAGUAGGGAAGAAGCGAAAGUGACGGUACCUGCAGAAAAAGCACCGGCUAACUACGUGCCAGCAGCCGCGGUAAUACGUAGGGUGCAAGCGUUGUCCGGAAUUAUUGGGCGUAAAGAGCUCGUAGGCGGUUUGUCGCGUCUGCUGUGAAAACCCGAGGCUCAACCUCGGGCCUGCAGUGGGUACGGGCAGACUAGAGUGCGGUAGGGGAGAUUGGAAUUCCUGGUGUAGCGGUGGAAUGCGCAGAUAUCAGGAGGAACACCGAUGGCGAAGGCAGAUCUCUGGGCCGUAACUGACGCUGAGGAGCGAAAGCAUGGGGAGCGAACAGGAUUAGAUACCCUGGUAGUCCAUGCCGUAAACGUUGGGAACUAGAUGUAGGGGCCAUUCCACGGUUUCUGUGUCGCAGCUAACGCAUUAAGUUCCCCGCCUGGGGAGUACGGCCGCAAGGCU